rnacentral:rRNA from 1 species
GGCUCUGCCGCUGUUGUAUGCAGGGACGAGCGAGGCAUGUACCUUGGCAGUUCAGCAAUGGUCUAUGCGAUCACAGACCCACCAACGCUCGAAACUUUGGCUUGUAGGGAGGCUUUGUCUUUGGCUCUUGACCUAGAUGAACACCACCUACUGAUUGCAUCUGAUUGCCAAUCAGUGAUAAAAGACAUUGUAGAAAGAACGGGAGGAGCAAAUGCAGCCAUAGUGAAGGAGAUAACAGCCAGAAGAGAAGAGUUUGGGGCAUGCAGGUUUCGUUUUGAGAGUAGAAAGAGCAAUUUUGAGGCUCAUGCUUUAGCUAGAUUUGCUAUUUCUUUAGAGAUUGGCCGUCAUGUGUGGUUUGGCACCCCACAUGAUUCUGUAAUUAUCCCCAUGAACAUCAUGAAUUAA